GCCUAGUUAGCUUGGUUGGUAGCGCGUCUGCCUCGUAAGCGCUAGGCCGCGGGUUCGAAUCCCGCCCGGGGCG
rnacentral:tRNA from 1 species